rnacentral:rRNA from 1 species
UACGGAGGGUGCAAGCGUUAUCCGGAUUUACUGGGUUUAAAGGGUGCGUAGGUGGAUAAGAAAGUCAGUGGUGAAAUCUUCAGGCUUAACCUGGAAACUGCCGUUGAUACUAUUUAUCUUGAAUACUUUGGAGGUAAGCGGAAUAUGUCAUGUAGCGGUGAAAUGCUUAGAUAUGACAUAGAACACCAAUUGCGAAGGCAGCUUACUACACAGUAAUUGACACUGAGGCACGAAAGCGUGGGGAUCAAACAGG